rnacentral:tRNA from 1 species
GGGAUUGUGGCUCAGUGGUAGAGCACUCGCCUAGCAUGUGCGAGGCCCUGGGUUUGAUCCUCAGCACCA